GGACAAUGGCCACUUAAGUAUCCUGCUGUCGUCCAUUCUUCAUCGUGUCCUACUCAGUGGAGUGAUGUUACCAUGAGCACUGCUGCAGUGGCUGAUGAGCUGACAGCUUUCAGGACCUCCUCUAUUGGUGAAAAGGCUAGAGUCUAAAGACAUCAUGGCCAUAAGCUCACCAUGAACAACAUUAUUGGCUAGAACUGCAGCAGCCAUAUACUGGUUAUGCUUUCUGCAAGCUAAACAAAGAGUCAUAAAACGGAUCAAAAUCAGCUUUCAUCUUCUGCCAGAUUGAAGCGUGGGCUGCAAAGGUCACUGAAGUCUGAAGUGGGGCAAGCCUGGAUACAGAAAGACCUGGGGAAUGCAGGGAUCUCUCAACAAGAUAUAAUGGCAUUUGGCAGAAUGUGUCUGCUGCAGGUUGCCUUUGCUCUGGAGGUGGAGAUCAUUUUUAUGAGACUGUGGAAGGACAUCAAGUGAAAAAAAGGUUCUUCGGGAAUCAAUUACAGCAGGUCCAGAAAAUAUAUUGCUCUAAAGAGGAAUCCAUCCGGGCAGUAUGGAACACAAUUCAUUGUGAAUGGUUUGGAGCCACGAACCUCCCACCCCUAUGGAAACAGAUGGGUGGGUCAAUGAAGGUUUCUGAGGGCUAGUCGAAUAUUGGAAGCGUCAGGUUAGCCUUAAAACAUGGUAUUCUCCUGUGCAGUAGAUUAGACUCAAAUCUCUCAUAAAGGAAUUGGGGUGGUUUCCCAGAAAUAAAUAGCUCUGGUGUUGUAGCAAAAGGGAAGAACAAUGUUGUGCAUAUCCCCUAGGCAGGCACCAAUUUUCUUGCCUUUCAAGCUCCUUCGAAGAGCUGUCUGAGCCCGCCCUCCCUCGCUCCUUUAAGGAGAAUGGACAAGGGGACGAGAAGCAUUUUGAAUUUCUACACCCUCUAUUAUACCAAACACUCUGGGGCAUAUCAAACAUCCUGGAGCUCAAUGAGUUGAACAUUAGAAGUACCCUCCCCUCCUUAUUCAUCUAAGGGAGCGGACAGAGCCAAAGGCUCACUGGGAGAACCAUUAAAUGAGCUCAGCUAAUUAGGGGUAAGAAAGAUUUGUGAAACCUUUUGGUGGAAAGGCUUUGAUUGACGGGAAGCAGGGGUGGGCAGGAGAGGGAAGAAAUGCCAGCAUUGCAUGAGGAAUGGAAAUGAGAGGAUUGAGAGGAAAAGCUUAGGAGCUGGGUUCAACAGGGAACUGGGGAAAGGACAUUCAUAGUUUUUUUUUUUUUUAACUCAUUCUUCAUUUCAAAUUUCUAGCACUAAAAGAGAAAGGCAGAGCUAGCUUCAGGCCAGAAGAUAGAACUUUCUACUCGUAUGCACGUUCAGUACUUCUCCAGUUUGAUUCAAAAAGUCUUCAGCCCUGCCAAACCUUUUACUAGGCUGCAAAAUCGCUUCCCACAGUAAUUAGUGUCAUAGAAAUGAUCUGGUGAAAGAAAAUCAGAGGCCUAAGGAAAUGCAGGCCUCAUGCUUUGGAUCAGAUUUUCAACUUAUUAACUAUUUUACUUGUCCCUGGUUUCAUGUGUUUAAGCCCAGACUGAUUUCUUUAAGAACUCUGUUUCUAUGAACGUGCUCCGAUAUAUAACUACUUUUAAAACCAAUUAAAACUUUACAUGUGUGAUAAACACUGACAGCAACUACCUUGGAAAAUAUUGUCUAAAUCUUGAGAUGCGUCUUUUCCCUAAAUUGCUCAAAGUUCCAUUCUUUAAGAAUCACAUGUAUCAUUUUCCUUGAUGCAGUAAGGGGCAUAGAACUUGAUGCUGAUUUAUAGUAUCUCCAAGUUGGUGGACUUUUGAAUUUCCUGUGACUUUGUGUGAAGACAAAGAUGACAAAGGUUCUAUUUAUGGAUAAUUAUAAAAUUGUAACCAACACUU